AACGAACGCUGGCGGCGUGCCUAACACAUGCAAGUCGAACGAGAAAGCGGACUUCGGUCCGCCGGUAAAGUGGCAGACGGGUGAGUAACACGUGGAUAACCUACCCAAAGGCGGGGGAUAACUCUUCGAAAGGAGAGCUAAUACCGCAUAACAUUCCUAGGUCUUCGGGCUCUGGAAUCAAAGCUAGCCUCUUCUUGAAAGCUAGCGCCGUUGGAUGGGUCCGCGCCCCAUUAGCUUGUUGGUGAGGUAACGGCUCACCAAGGCAUCGAUGGGUAGCCGGCCUGAGAGGGUGAACGGCCACACUGGAACUGAGACACGGUCCAGACUCCUACGGGAGGCAGCAGUGAGGAAUUUUGCGCAAUGGGGGAAACCCUGACGCAGCGACGCCGCG
rnacentral:rRNA from 1 species